rnacentral:rRNA from 1 species
GACGAACGCUGGCGGCGUGCCUAAUACAUGCAAGUCGAACGAGAGCGACCGGUGCUUGCACUGGUCAAUCUAGUGGCGAACGGGUGAGUAACACGUGGGUAACCUGCCCAUCAGAGGGGGAUAACAUUCGGAAACGGAUGCUAAAACCGCAUAGGUCUUCGAACCGCAUGGUUUGAAGAGGAAAAGAGGCGCAAGCUUCUGCUGAUGGAUGGACCCGCGGUGCAUUAGCUAGUUGGUGAGGUAACAGCUCACCAAGGCCGUGAUGCAUAGCCGACCUGAGAGGGUGAUCGGCCACAUUGGGACUGAGACACGGCCCAAACUCCUACGGGAGGCAGCAGUAGGGAAUCUUCCGCAAUGGACGCAAGUCUGACGGAGCAACGCCGCGUGAGUGAAGAAGGUUUUCGGAUCGUAAAACUCUGUUGUUAGAGAAGAACAAGUGCUAGAGUAACUGUUAGCGCCUUGACGGUAUCUAACCAGAAAGCCACGGCUAACUACGUGCCAGCAGCCGCGGUAAUACGUAGGUGGCAAGCGUUGUCCGGAUUUAUUGGGCGUAAAGCGAGCGCAGGCGGUUCCUUAAGUCUGAUGUGAAAGCCCCCGGCUCAACCGGGGAGGGUCAUUGGAAACUGGGGAACUUGAGUGCAGAAGAGGAGAGUGGAAUUCCAUGUGUAGCGGUGAAAUGCGUAGAUAUAUGGAGGAACACCAGUGGCGAAGGCGACUCUCUGGUCUGUAACUGACGCUGAGGCUCGAAAGCGUGGGUAGCAAACAGG